UUUACAGAUAUCUGCCACGGCUGCAUUUGCUAGCAUCUCCAUGAUGGAGGCUAUUUGAGUGUGAAAAAACAUACAGUUAGCCAUUGUUAGCGUUAACUAUAAAAUAUCAACCAAGUCCUGUCUACAACGAGAAUGAAAUACUACCUGAUGUGCAAGUUUAAGUUUGUUCCAUCUGAGUGAUUCUGACCACAAGUCAGAGACCACUGAUGACACCAAACGCGUUUGAUUGAUCCAUUUUGUCUUCUUCUAAUGCCUGUUAAGGGGAAAGUAAUCCAAAAGUACCAAAAUAAAAGGAGAACUGAAAGUCCUGCCCAAGAACAGGAAUCUAUUAAGAUAUGUGCUUAUCACCCAAUGCUUCCUAAUUCGGACUGACUGUGCUGUGUAACUCUGUUAUUCUCCUGAGCUCAGAAAAAUAAAGAAUCUUACUUUGACU